UGUCUCAGUUUAAAGCCAUUCCCCCUUGUCCUAAAUUACUUAAAGAGACUGCAGCCUUGACUUCAGCUUAGCUUGUAUACAGGACCUAUGGCUUGGAUAACAGUUUGGUUAAUAAAUGACAGCAAGAAGUCUCAGAAGGUGUGGAAGGAAACCUGAAACCAUUUCUACAGAUGGGUGUUAGGAAAGGCAGUGACUCUGCUCACACCAAACCAGUUCUUGGAUUUCACCCUGUGCAGACCAAGCGCACCCCCAGGGCUUCCUGCCGAUGCUCCACGGGCAGCACAUGUGGCAGCAGUGUGCUCGUGGGCAGGCACGUGGCGUGCUGCUGCACCGGAGGGACACUCGUGGCCAUGGGGAGCUGCAGGUGCUUCCUGUGAGUCUAUUCACGUGAGUGAGGGCUUCUAUGUGUUUCUCUCUCAGGUAGCUGUAAGGGCCCUGCAGCAGCGUUUGGUGCCAGCCGGUUCAACAGCUGCCGCCAAAGCCACCAGCGGUAGUGCUGUGCUCUGAAGGAUUCUGAGAAGAGCUGUGAGAACAUACAAAAGUCACAGACACACCUGAUGGUGAGAGCCCUGCAGCCCGGCCUGCUUCAUUCCAUGUGCCGCAGCCUGAGCGCUGUCACCAAGUGCCUACAAGGAGAACGGCAGCGGGAUAAUAGGAAGCCUUUCGAACUACCAGAAAUUUCUUCUUGGCUGUAGAGGAAGCACAAGGAGAUUAAGCUUGCUGGGCUAAAGAAAGUGAAUCCACUGCUGUGAGUACAGAAUCUCAGAACUGGAGGGGAUGGAAGGGACCUCUGGAGAUCAUCCAGUCCAAAAGCUCCAUUAACAGCAUGAAAGCUUUUAUUCAGAAUAUGACAAAUGGGAUUUCUGUGACCUCAGCUCAGCUCCAUCUGCUGAUAGAGACAUUAUUUUUGGCUGCAAUACCACUAUCACUUUAAAUAAUUUAGAUUGGAAACAUUCAGGAUGAAUUUCACAAGGAGAUGCUUGUGUUGGAAACCAUGAAGUUUCCUAUGGCAUCCAGAGCUGGGACACUGUCUAGAAGGAAGAAGCUUCCACUCCCUCUCAUACAUAAGGAAAGGCUGUGCAUGUCUACUUGAGAAUCUCAGCUACUGCAGUGACUGCAGCGCAGUGCAGACUUCCAAGCUAACUUCAGAUUAGCUGGCUGAGACCCACUAGAAAUGUAGCUUUGGCACAUGAGUCCCUGUAGAUAUGCCUGUCCGGUCACUCUGGCUGAUGGCAAUGUGAGCCAUCAGUUCAGUUCUUGGACUGUGAACUCAAGCAGUGAAAAAAAAUCAUGACAGGCUGAAAACAAAUAAAAGAUCCACAAACUGUGCUCUUUGACCCUCAGACAGCAAAGUGCAGUGUUUUUUCACAGACUUGAGACAUGCUUGCUAGCAAGAAAAUUCCUGAAAGUGAAAACUGUCGUGGAACCGUCAAUCUGCAAGAAUGUUGGUUUGGAGGAAAAAAAACUGGCAUUGCAAAGCUUGCUGCAAACUGAGAGCGGCUGACAACGUUUGAAUUGAAGAAACUGAGGACCCUUUUGAUCCUGGAUUUGUUGCAUGCUUAUGUUUCUGUUAACACCCACUACAGCCAGUGCCUGGUCCAUUUCCAUCCAUUCAAAAUAUAAAAUGUCUCCCGUUAUAGUCAGCGAUGGUGGGUUUCUGAAUCACUGUAUAGAUGGGGCACUGGAAAGACUGCUAGUUUUAGCUUUUAGAAAGCACCCAGCACUUAGACUUUGUAAAUCACUGGAAGCUCAGUACAAACAGUUACUGAAAUGGCUGAAGAAGUUGUCCAUCUUGUUCUCAGAGCACCAUGCUUUUAUUGCCGAAUGUACCAUCACACUGACAGUAUAACUAAGUUUCAAUGAAAAACAAAAUAAUGGAGAUCAAAUUCACAUCCCACCCUUGGGAAUUUCUACCUAGCAAAGCUGGAAGAGCUGUGAUGAAGAGAGCUGCACAGCUGCUACCCACAUUAAAUAUUUUGGUGGAGGAAAAUCACCCUA